AUCGGACUUAAGUAACCACAUUGUGGACCUGUUACAAUACAGUACAUAAAUCAUGAAUUUGACAAAUAUCCACUUUGUUAGAUCAGAUUUGUAGAAUGUCAGCCUUUCAUUGACUCCUUUACCGCAUCUAUAGUCCGAAUCGAUAUUCACAUAAUAAUGAAUUCCCCUCGACCAUGCCCACAAAUUGAUGAAAAUAAACAUUCUUUGCCAUUGACCCCCAUUGUAAAAGAGCCAACUUCGUCGUGUAUUUUUUUGUUAUACAGAAAUAAUAAAAAAUGCCUAAAAAGCUGCAGUGUUGUUCAAUGUACAUGUAACCAGGUCAAAAUUCCCGACCUACGGUUCACAAUGAUCCCAAGUAGGGAUGUUACGUUAGAGCCUGCGAGAAGAGCACUGUGGCUUCAGGUUAUUCGGAAUGGGAAAUGUGGGGACCCGGUGUCAAAGUAGGCUACACGUAGCAGUGUAUGUUAAAACAUUUCAUCACAGCCUCAGGCAGUUGCGAGAUGAAGGGGGUCUUUGGGAUGGGGAAACCAAGAGACCCUACAACCUGGUUGAGAGGUGUCAGCCCCCAGCAGCAUCCCACUCCAGGCAGAUACCAGCUCCAGUUUCCCAUCCUGCAGCAGCAGAAGUUCCAGUCCCUCUGUUGGUCCAGAGCCACACCCUCCACCAGACCAUGUUGGCUGCUCAGGCCAUGAUGCCACCCUAUCAUGUGACGGCCCCUCGGCCCCAGCCAUCCAGAGCCUCAACAAGUAAGACCUGGAGCUAGAACUGCCUUCACACCACGCUACACCACACAACAGCACAGCACUGGCAUGCUGCUGUUCAAUACUCUAUCACUAAAGAGUUCAUUAUUACCACUUUGACUGGACCAUGAAUAUGCAGUAUGUGUGAUGGCUAAUGGGUCUAGAGGACUAUAGCUGUGCUGGAGGGGUGAACCAGGGUCCAGCAGCAGUAGAGAGUUUAAGAGGAGGUGGUGGUGAGGGUAAUGAGAGUUAGACUACUUGAAGCGUGAAGCGUACGGUCCUAGUCCCUUGGCUUCAGGCUGUAUCUGCCCGUUCAGUAAACAACCUCAUCACAGGCCUGAUUUGUGCCUGCUCAGUAAACACAUUGCGGUUCAACUGCAGGGCCCUAUUUAUGAGCGCCAUUUAAACCCUGUUUUGUUUGGAGAUUAACAGAAGAAGAGAGGAGGAAAAAUAGAGAAAGAAAGAAAAGUUAGGGAUCGGGAAAACGGAGCGGAGCCUGAAACUGCCAUCUGUUUCCCACGCUGCAGUAUGACUUUAUUACCCAACAUCUGGCCAAAUUACACAACGAUGGCAGACCUCGGCGAUAGGGCUGCUUGUUUAAAGCACAUGGCCUUGGUGGAGGGCUCCUCUCUCCCAGUGUGAGGACAGGGCUCCAGCCCCUGUGAGGCGCAGUGGUCCUAACUCUGUCACUCUGCAGAGCCCCCCCCUCCCCAGUCCUGCUGUGUGCUACUCUGGUAUUAGCAUCAGUGAGAUUUAUAAGGACCUGGACAUUAGAUGUUGUUGUCUUUUUUUGCUAAGUAUGCAUAUUUAUAGAACUGUAUGGUAAAGCAAUUGCUCUAUGUGUCUGCUCCUACUGUGUGAGACUGGCAAGUGUGCAUGCCACUUGUCUUUCUGUCUGUAUC
rnacentral:lncRNA from 13 species